CUUCGUCUUGCUUCAGCAUUUUAACCCACUUCGCCGCCGCUACAAACGUCGCCCCGUUGUCCGAAUAAAUACGCUCAGGACGACCGCGUCUUGCAAUAAAUCUUUGGAGGCUGUUUAGACACUCAGACGUCUCCAUGUUAGGCAGAAGUUCGAGGUAUACUCCACGAGUAAGACUACAAGCGUAUAACAAGAUGUACGCCUUGCCUUCUUUUCCUUUCGACUUUCUAUAACGUAGUGGACCCGCGUAAUCAAUUCCGAUAACUUGAUAUGCAGUGGAUCCUUCGGUUCUGGUGGUUGGUAAGUUCGAUGGAGGGGGCGUUGCGUAAGCAAUGGCGUGGAAUCGCUUGCAUCCAUGGCAAUCUUUAAUAACCCGCUUCACUAAUCGUCGCAAACGAGGGAUCCAAUGUCUUUCUCGAACGUUCACCAUUGUCAAUCCGACUCCCCCAUGAAGUGUGGACUUGUGUGCAUGUUCGACGAAUUUUCUUGCCAGCAAUGAUGAACUAGGAAUGUAGACCGGGUAAAACCCCUGAACUCUUCCUCUGCACUCUAAAACACC